AACGGUCUAUACCUGCGGUACCUGCGGAGGGAUCAUUACUGAAUUGAUUUUGGGGAUGUUGCUGGUCUCUUGAGGCAAUGGUGCACUCCCUCAAACAUUUCACAAUUUCCAUCUUACCCAUGUGCACAUCCUGUAGGUGGUCUCCCAACCCACCCUCCAAGGAAAGGGGGGGAGUGUGUGGGUCUGGUCUCCUAUGUAUUUCCUUGCCAACAUCACACGUUUUGACUGAGUGAAUCCUGU
rnacentral:misc_RNA from 1 species